UACAGCUACCAACAUGAAACCACGGGAAAUUUUAUAUGCAGCCAAAAAUGGACAGGAGAGACCGAUAGAAAUGGAACGCCUUGUUGAACUUCGUGACAAGUUGAAGCGAGAGGAUCCGCCAAAACUAAAACAAAACGAAUUGGCAUACAACCGCAUCCAAGGAGUGAAGUCGAAAAUUAAGGACCGCUACCAACAAGUGCGAGUACGAUCUAACCGGAAACACACGUACAAAGAUAUCCUAAGUCGAAAAUUGCAUAAAGAAAAACUGCGACGAAUCCGAAAGUAACACCACAGAAUCUCUAAUGUGUUUUUUCAUUUGUUUUCUCUUUUUAGAUGACGUUUAUUUGGAAUAUCCUGAUAACAACCACAUUCCUUACUCAGCUAUCCCAACCACAAUCCAUCCACGUCAUUAAUCUCAAACAAAACCCCGGUCUUUUAACCAUAGAAACUGGCAACAGUUUUAUAAAAAUAGGCAAUCACAGAUUGUUUCAUAUCCUAGAACUGGAUAAUUACGAACCUAUUUUUAGAAAAUUGCUUGCUAAUAUCCAAGGAAUACGGACAUUCUCAAAUUUUACUGAUAUGUUUGAAAUCUUAGAAUCGAAAUAUGGAACCGUUCACAGUUUAUUCAAUAAUCUUCGGCCAAAGCAAAGAAAUAAAAGAGGAUUAUUUAAUUUUCUCGGAACUCGAAUAAAAAGAAUUACAGGAAAUAUGGACCAUAACGACUAUGAACAAAUUUCGAAAAAUAUUUUUGAACUGCAGAUCAAGAACAAAAGACUUAU
rnacentral:lncRNA from 1 species